rnacentral:rRNA from 1 species
UACAGAGGUCUCAAGCGUUGUUCGGAUUCAUUGGGCGUAAAGGGUGCGUAGGCGGCGCGGUAAGUCGGGUGUGAAAUCUUGGAGCUUAACUCCGAAACUGCAUUCGAUACUGCCGUGCUUGAGGACUGGAGAGGAGACUGGAAUUUACGGUGUAGCGGUGAAAUGCGUAGAUAUCGUAAGGAAGACCAGUGGCGAAGGCGGCUCACUGGCCCGGUACUGACGCUGAGGUGCGAAAGCGUGGGGAGCGAUCCGG